rnacentral:snRNA from 14 species
AUCCUUACCUGACAGGGGAGACAGCACAAUCACCUGGGCGACUCUUUCAGGGUGAGGCUGGCCCCGUGUGCUCUAGGCGAGCUGCUCCCUGUGAUUUUUCCACGGGCAGGGAAACUCGACUGCACAAUCUGUGGUAGUGAAGGCUGCAGCCAUGCUCUCCCCCC